AGUAAUACAUAAGUAACCUGCCCUAGACAGGGGGAUAACUAUUGGAAACGAUAGCUAAGACCGCAUAGGUACGGACACUGCAUGGUGACCGUAUUAAAAGUGCCUCAAAGCACUGGUAGAGGAUGGACUUAUGGCGCAUUAGCUGGUUGGCGGGGUAACGGCCCACCUAGGCGACGAUGCGUAGCCGACCUGAGAGGGUGACCGGCCACACUGGGACUGAGACACGGCCCAG
rnacentral:rRNA from 1 species